rnacentral:rRNA from 1 species
UACGUAGGGGGCAAGCGUUGUCCGGAUUUAUUGGGCGUAAAGAGCGUGUAGGCGGCCAGGUAGGUCGGUUGUGAAAACUCGAGGCUCAACCUCGAGAUGUCGACCGAAACCAUCUGGCUAGAGUCCGGAAGAGGAGAAUGGAAUUCCCGGUGUAGCGGUGAAAUGCGCAGAUAUCAGGAGGAACACCAAUGGCGAAGGCAGCUCGCUGGAACGGUACUGACGCUGAGGCGCGAAAGCGUGGGGAGCGAACAGG